GUGGGGAAUAUUGGACAAUGGGGGGAACCCUGAUCCAGCCAUGCCGCGUGUGUGAAGAAGGCCUUUUGGUUGUAAAGCACUUUAAGCGAGGAGGAGGCUACCGAGAUUAAUACUCUUGGAUAGUGGACGUUACUCGCAGAAUAAGCACCGGCUAACUCUGUGCCAGCAGCCGCGGUAAUACAGAGGGUGCAAGCGUUAAUCGGAUUUACUGGGCGUAAAGCGCGCGUAGGUGGCCAAUUAAGUCAAAUGUGAAAUCCCCGAGCUUAACUUGGGAAUUGCAUUCGAUACUGGGUGGCUAGAGUAUGGGAGAGGAUGGUAGAAUUCCAGGUGUAGCGGUGAAAUGCGUAGAGAUCUGGAGGAAUACCGAUGGCGAAGGCAGCCAUCUGGCCUAAUACUGACACUGAGGUGCGAAAGCAUGGGGAGCAAACAGGAUUAGAAACCCGAGUAGUCC
rnacentral:rRNA from 1 species